rnacentral:rRNA from 1 species
UGAACGCGUAGCGGCAGGCUAACACAUGCAAGUCGAGGGGCAUCGGGAGUAGCAAUACUGCCGGCGACCGGCGCAAGGGUGCGUAACGCGUGAGCAACAUGCCCGUAUCAGGGGGAUAAUCCAUGGAGACGUGGGUCUAAUACCCCAUAGUAAUUAUGUAAGGCAUCUUAUAUAAUUUAAAGCUUUGGUGGAUACGGAUUGGCUCGCGUGACAUUAGCUAGAUGGUAAGGUAACGGCUUACCAUGGCUACGAUGUCUAGGGGUUCUGAGAGGAAGGUCCCCCACACUGGAACUGAGACACGGUCCAGACUCCUACGGGAGGCAGCAGUGAGGAAUAUUGGACAAUGGAUGGAAAUCUGAUCCAGCCAUGCCGCGUGCAGGAAGAACCGGCCCUAUGGGUUGUAAACUGCUUUUGUAUGGGAGCAAUAAGGGCUACGCGUAGUCCGAUGAGAGUACCAUACGAAUAAGCACCGGCUAACUCCGUGCCAGCAGCAGC